UACGGAGGGUGCAAGCGUUAAUCGGAAUUACUGGGCGUAAAGGGCACGCAGGCGGUUUGUUAAGUGAGAUGUGAAAUCCCCGGGCUUAACCUGGGAACUGCAUCUGAUACUGGCAGGCUUGAGUCUCGUAGAGGGGGGUAGAAUUCCAGGUGUAGCGGUGAAAUGCGUAGAGAUCUGGAGGAAUACCGGAGGCGAAGGCAGCCCCCUGGAAGUAGACUGACGCUCAGGUGCGAAAGCGUGGGGAGCAAACAGG
rnacentral:rRNA from 1 species